ensembl:lncRNA
UUUUUAUUUUUUGAGAGGAGUCCAUGUGAAGGGAACUAGAGACAUACUUGGGUGUUUGUCCUGCAGACAAUGCAUGCCUGGGUCUUGUGCUGUUUCCGUAUCUUCUGCCCAAGCCAACUGGCCAGCCUCAUGGCCUCUCAACAGGAGAAGGGUGCCAAUUCCUAACAUUCUAUUUUCGUACUGUUUGAUGAUAAAAAUCACCCCAGUGGGGCGAAUGGCAGUGAACAAAAACAGGAAGCAGCCCCCUGAUUAGAUAGGAACAGGGUGGCUUGUAGAGUAAUAAACAAAAUGACUAAGAAGAUAAAUGACAGAACCAUGGAUGCUGCCAUCUCCUUCCUGAACAGGCCAAGAAUAAAUGGAAAGAAGAAAUCAGGAAAGAAGUCAUGUCUUGGGCUACAAGUGGGGGUGAAGGAGGCUUGCUCUGCAAUAUCACUUUGCAGGGGCCUUCUCUAAGUUGCCUCUUGAGUGAAGGCCAUCAGGACAACUAUCUGGUUUUCAGUGACUUCCAUGGGAAAUCUUGCCUAAGUGAUUUAGUACCUUGCUCUGAUAUUUGGAGAUCCUCUGAAAUCUAUGAUCUUAGAGCGUUAGCCAAACCAAGGGUCCACUUUGUCAUGUUGCUACUCUUGGACAGUGGUUCUCAGUUGGGGAGGGACAUGGUAAUUUGGCUCCCUAGCAGGCAUUUGACAAUGUCUAGUUGUCACAACUGAUGGAUUGUGCUGUUGGCAUCUUGUGGGUAGAGGCCAGAGAUGCUGCUAAAUAUCCUGUAACGCCCAGGACAGCCCCUAGCAACAAAGAAUUAUCCAACUCUAAAUGUCAAUAGUAGCAAAGUUGAGAAGCCCUGAUCUAAGGCAAGUUAAGAUAUAAAAAUAGGUGUAAGUAUGGGUAUGGACAUAGGGUGGAUACGAAUGUGGACAUAGAUGUAAACAUAGACAUAUAUUGAAACCAUUCUGCAAUGAAAUCUCAUUUCUUUUUCUUAAAAAGAAAGACAACUUCAUUUCUGAUGACAAAAAUCUUCACAGGGAUAAAUCACCAGGAAAGUGAGACUUAGACAUUCCCCUAUAAAGACCCAGAAACUCCAGGUCUGCUCUAAGCAUGGACCUCACCUGAUCAUCCCAACCAGGGCCUCAUGAUGAGAGCACAUGUUCAAAUUGCACCUGUAACAUUUACGUCCUGUGUGAUCUUUGGCACGUUUCUUAUUCUCUCUGAGUCUUAGCUCCACGUUUAUGAUGUUGACUUAAUAACUUCUAUAUCUUAUAGCUGUGAUGAUAAUGAAUAGGAUUGCACGAAUAAUGGUCAGUACAUUGUCUGUACCCUAGUCAAAUAGGAGACAUUCAAUGAAUUGCAUCUGUUAUUGAUCAUAUCAUCAUCAACAUGCUUGGAUUUUAACAUACAUUCAGGUAUUUCUCCUUAGUACCCAAAGGGCUCUUUGCCAUUGGAAAACAUGAUUUAGGGUACCAGGACGCUGAGAUAGGACUCUGUCUCAAUUUCAGCUGAUGUCCCAAGGAAUUAAGAACCAAUAGGUAAGUUCAUCAAGUGGUUUCCUUGAAGUCUCAUCAUCAGGAGGGAUCGUGACAAGCUGAGGUACAGCUAGAAUGCACAGCCACUUUGGAUAUAGAGGCCUGCACUUCCAGUAGUCAGGGAACUGCUAGAAUGGGCUCUCCAUGACACAGAUGUGGGCC